UACGGCCACUUCACGUUACAACACAGGUUCCGGUACUAUCACCGGAAUUAAGCAAAGUCGAGCAUGGUCAGUACUUAGAUGGAUGACUGCUUGGGAAUACCAGGUGCUGUAAG